rnacentral:sRNA from 1 species
UUGACAACUAAAUAACCUUUAAUUUUCUUUUUUUUUUUAAUUGAAAUCAAGUAAGAAAUUUUAUUAAUUUUGGAAUUGACAAAACAUCUUUUGUUGUUUCCAAGAAUUAAUUAAAUAGGAGGCAUUUGGCGGUAUUAUGUGGAUAAACCUUUAAUUUUCAUGACUGACAUGUAUUAUUCUAAAAGUUAUUUGACUUUUUUAAAAUUUCUCUCCACGUUCCCAAAUGUUUUAUUUCAAAUAGCAUCAUUUUCUCCUGAAAAAUACCUGAAAAAUUUUAGAACCGUUUUUAUUAUGCAUAUUUAUGAUGAAAGUUUGUAUCUUAAUAUAUUUGCUUUCUCAUUUUUCUUCCUUUUUUUUCUUUUAGAAAUAUUCAAAUUUUAAAACAACAAUUAAGUGGAUUAUGGGAACAGGAAAACCAUCUUACUUUGGUUCCAGGAUAUACUGGUAAUAUAGCUAAGGAUGUAGAUGCUUAUUUAUUACAGUUACAUUGAGAGAUUUCAUCUACUAAAGAGCAUUUGGUUUUUCAAAACAUCCCUGAACUGUAUAAUUUACAAAAAAAAAAGUCUCGUCUGAGAACUGUGAACUGUGGAAGAAAUCAAAACUAUUUUUUCUUUUAAAAAGCCACAUAAUGAAACCACUAAUGAAAUCCCAGCAAUCUGCUUCACAUUGAAGUGGAAAAAUAUCCAAAAGGAGCAGCUUCAAUUUCAUUGAGGUGAAAGUGCACUAUGAAGAUUGUUC